UACGGGGGGGGCAAGCGUUGUUCGGAAUUACUGGGCGUAAAGGGCUCGUAGGCGGCUAUUUAAGUCAGACGUGAAAUCCCUCGGCUUAACCGGGGAACGGCGUCUGAUACUGGACGGCUUGAGUUCGGGAGAGGGAUGCGGAAUUCCAGGUGUAGCGGUGAAAUGCGUAGAUAUCUGGAGGAACACCGGUGGCGAAGGCAGGUCUCUGGGCCAUAACUGACGCUGAGGAGCGAAAGCGUGGGGAGCGAACAGG
rnacentral:rRNA from 1 species